rnacentral:rRNA from 1 species
GAAUAAGCAUCGGCUAACUCCGUGCCAGCAGCCGCGGUAAUACGGAGGAUGCGAGCGUUAUCCGGAUUUAUUGGGUUUAAAGGGUGCGUAGGCGGCCUGUUAAGUCAGCGGUGAAAUCUAGGAGCUUAACUCCUAAAUUGCCAUUGAUACUGGCGGGCUUGAGUGUAGAUGAGGUAGGCGGAAUGCGUGGUGUAGCGGUGGAAUGCAUAGAUAUCACGCAGAACUCCGAUUGCGAAGGCAGCUUACUAAGGUACAACUGACGCUGAAGCACGAAAGCGUGGGUAUCAAACAGGAUUAGAUACCCUGGUAGUCCACGCUGUAAACGAUGAUAACUGGGCGUAUGCGAUAUACAGUAUGCUCCUAAGCGAAAGCGUUAAGUUAUCCACCUGGGGAGUACGCCGGCAACGGUGAAACUCAAAGGAAUUGACGGGGGCCCGCACAAGCGGAGGAACAUGUGGUUUAAUUCGAUGAUACGCGAGGAACCUUACCCGGGAUUGAAAUGUAGAUGACCGCUCCUGAAAGGGAGUUUUCCUUCGGGACAUCUAUGUAGGUGCUGCAUGGUUGUCGUCAGCUCGUGCCGUGAGGUGUCGGCUUAAGUGCCAUAACGAGCGCAACCCCUGUCUACGGUUGCCAUCAGGUAAUGCUGGGAACUCCGUAGAGACUGCCGUCGUAAGGCGUGAGGAAGGUGGGGAUGACGUCAAAUCAGCACGGCCCUUACAUCCGGGGCGACACACGUGUUACAAUGGUAAGGACAAAGGGCAGCUACCUGGCGACAGGAUGCGAAUCUCUAAACCUUAUCACAGUUCGGAUCGGAGUCUGCAACUCGACUCCGUGAAGCUGGAUUCGCUAGUAAUCGCGCAUCAGCCAUGGCGCGGUGAAUACGUUCCCGGGCCUUGUACACACCGCCCGUCAAGCCAUGGGAGUCUGGAGUACCUAAAGUCCGUAACCGCAAGGGUCGGCCUAGGGUAAUACAGGUGACUGGGGCUAAGUCGUAACAAGGUAGCCGUACCGGAAGGUGCGGCUG